ACGUAGGCAAUCUGCCCUCCAAGGGAGAACAACCAGCCGAAAGGUUGGCUAAAUCUCCGUAAAAUCAUAGAGUGGCAUCACUUAUUGAUCAAGUUUUUUGGAGGAUGAGCCUGCGUCUGAUUAGCUAGUUGGCGGGGUAACGGCCCACCAAGGCUACGAUCAGUAGCUGGUCUGAGAGGAUGAUCAGCCACAUUGGGACUGAGAUACGGCCCAG
rnacentral:rRNA from 1 species